UGGGGAAUAUUGCACAAUGGGCGCAAGCCUGAUGCAGCCAUGCCGCGUGUAUGAAGAAGGCCUUCGGGUUGUAAAGUACUUUCAGCGGGGAGGAAGGCGAUAAGGUUAAUAACCUUGUCGAUUGACGUUACCCGCAGAAGAAGCACCGGCUAACUCCGUGCCAGCAGCCGCGGUAAUACGGAGGGUGCAAGCGUUCAUCGGAAUUCCUGGGCGUAAAGCGCACGCAGGCGGUCUGUCAAGUCGGAUGUGAAAUCCCCGGGCUCAACCUGGGAACUGCAUUCGAAACUGGCAGGCUAGAGUCUUGUAGAGGGGGGUAGAAUUCCAGGUGUAGCGGUGAAAUACGUAGAGAUCUGGAGGAAUACCGGUGGCGAAGGCGGCCCCCUGGACAAAGACUGACGCUCAGGUGCGAAAGCGUGGGGAGCAAACA
rnacentral:rRNA from 1 species